AUGUGGCACAAGACCGGCAAUACCUUGCCGGUGAUGGUCAAUGGCCGGCAGACGGGCAGCAAAAAGGUUCUGGUGAUGCACACCAACAAGAACUUCGACCAGCAGAGGACCAACUGGGUGAUGCACCAGUACCACCUCGGGGACCUAGAGCAAGAGAAGGAGCGGGAGCUGGUCCUCUGCAAGAUUUUCUACCAGAUGAACACUAGGGCCAGGACUGCAUCCCAGUUAUCAUUCUGUACUUGCAGAAUUCUCUCGUUUAUUGAGCAGGCCCAGCCCAUGAUGACAACGGGGCACAAAGAUCCAGCAGGUAUCUACUGGCCUUUGUCCUGCCAGUGUUAG
rnacentral:rRNA from 1 species